CAUCUACACACACAGGAAAUCGGUCUCAUCUAAAGGAAAAUCUGAAAUCAACAUUUUAUCUGCACAAGAUAAAGGCACAUACACAUAGGGCUCAGAUCUCAGGAGCCCUGAGUCUGGACGAAGAAGGGGGGGAAAGGGAGGUAUCAGGACAAGAAAUCCUGUUUCCAGCUGUGUUAUGAGGUCUGGCGUGGAAAGGAGCAAAAUAUUCUACUCAUCCCCAAGACUAGGAUUCACCCCUCCUCCCUUUCUCUCUUGUUUUGACUUACGUAUGUUUAUAGUAGGAGCAACUGGCUCACAACUAGAGCCAUUGCCGAGAGUGCGUUUAAAGGGUGGCUGCUUUACUCCACUAUAAUUCAGUUCCCGCAUGUGAGCCUCAGCCCCGCGUCACCUGGAUACUGCAGACAAACAGCGUUAAAUAUGCAUAAGGAACAGUUCAUUUCUUAAAGGAGAACUUACCCGGACAGAAAGUUCGCGGCCCAACAGUAGGAACACAGACGUGGUGUCAUUUCUUUUCGUUUCGGACAAUAACACAUUUUUACAAGUGGUUGUAAAGUCUUUAGCGCCAUCUAACGGGAGCCAUACGUCUUUCUGCUCCACAGAGAACAUGGCUAAUUAAUAAGCGAGAUCUCUGCAUGCAGAAAAUUAGCUACAAUCUUGCACCUCUCUGGAAGAAAAAAAUUCGGGAGCAAGUCCUAAUGGUAGCCUGAUUUCUGUAAAGCAGCUUGCGGGCGUGGGAUGCAAAGUACAUUUUAAAUGUGCACGAUGCAUCUGUUUUUCUUCAAUUCAACAGAAGUUAAGCUGCAGCUCUGAAAGUCUUUCAGCAUUGUGGCUUUUCACAUACUCAGAAGAUGAGUGCAACUCCUAAAGGAAACUGAAGGCAGACUGGAUAUCUCUGUUGGUCCCAGAAGGGGCACAAGCAGGAUCAGCUGCAGAAGGGUAAAGGACAUGACUUUUUUCUGCAUUGUAAGCUGUGUGGCCAUCCCUCCCUGUCACUCUCUGAGGGAGGCCACGCUUCCUCACUGCCAAGUACCUGUAAAGAUUUCAUGUCUUGUGGAAUAGGCCCUCACUUUACAGCUAACAUGGUGGAAAGCAAAUGAGAGUAUCUGAGAGAAAAAGAGACAAAGAGAUUUUCGGUUUAAGGAGAACACACCUGAAUUGUGGAUGUACUAUUAUCUGUAUUAAGCUCUGAGUAUUAAAAUGCUGAUUGUUCCAGUCCUCAUCACCUUAUUUUACCUCUGCCUUUUCCCCAUUGCAUGCUUUGCUUUACCUCCAUUGUCUGUCUGCUUAACUUGUAAAAUGCUAAAAAAAGUUUGGAUAUUUACCUGUUUAUGAUUAAAU